ACUGACCACACUUACAACUCUUCUCUGAAAGUCUUUGCAUUUUCCUUUUCCAACAAUAAUGGACGAAGAACAGCUUCCAGAACCCAAACGCCGGAAAAUCGAAGACACCGUGAUCGAUAUCCUCACAACCGCCGACUUGGAAACGGCCACCGAACUUAGUGUCCGUACCGACGCGGCGGUGCGACUUGGCUGCGACCUCUCUACCCUCCCUCACAAGCGCCUUAUCAGAGAUACUAUCGAAUCCUUCUUGCUCUCUUCCGCCACCUCAGCAGCUCACCCUAAAGAACUGUUGCGUAACAACAACGAGACAGAUAAUCAAGAAAAUGAUCAAGGACGACAGGUGGAUAUUGACGCUGCUCCUGAUCCUGAUACAGCCGACGGUAUUGGUCAGGUCAUCUGUAAGCUCACCUGGAGGAGGAUGGUGACAGUUCGUUCACUAGGAGGCGAGACUUUGGUGUCAAUCUGGGAGUACUAUAGGAAAGAUGGAAAGCAGAUCGCUACUAAUAAAGGUGUUAACAUGACAGUCAAACAAUGGUCGUCUUUUAGGAGUAGCUUCCCUGCUAUAGAAGAAGCUAUCAUCAAGAUGGAAUCAAAGAUAAGAUGUGAACGUGCUAGCAAGAAGACUAAGGCCGAUAAGGCUGUUACAUCAAGGUCAUUUACUGUGGAUGCUCCUGAAGUGAGUGGAAAAACUGAGACAUAUAUCCCGAGUUCAAAUGAUUCCUUUAAUCAUCAAGAGAAUGGCUCUGUAGAAAAGAAACAAGCAGAUAAUUUGGAUGACACCGUGAAGAGUACAAACACUGAAGGUCUAAUUUCCAUUCAGAGAAAUCAGAAGCUGCUGGCUACUUCUAGUCCAAUGCCUAAUUCUGCUCCCGAGGAGCGGAUGCAACAUAAUUCUCUUACAAACUUCCCUUCUGUGGGCCUUGUUCCCAUUACACGUCUUGAUGGGAAAAAUUAUUAUUGUUGGAAGCAUCUGAUGGAAUUUUUCCUGAAGCAAUUGAAUAUUGCAUAUGUGCUCACUGAACCCUGCCCAAAAGUUCCCAUUACCCCAGAAGUGAGUAGUGAAGAAACUCUCCAAGCUAAGGCUGCUGUAAAAAAAUGGAUUCAUGAUGAUCAUGUAUGCUGUCGCAGCAUAUUGAACUCUUUAUCUGACAAACUUUUUGAGGAGUACUCAAAUAAGACAUACACAUCCAAGGAGCUGUGGGAAAAGCUCAAAUUGAUUUAUGACGAGGAUUUUGGAACAAUGAGGUCUCAAGUGAACAAGUAUAUACAAUUUCAAAUACUUGAUGGUAUAUCAAUUCUUGACCAAGUUAUAGAGCUAAACAAUAUUGCAGAUUCUAUAAUGGCAUCAGGAGUUUUGGUGGACGAGAAUUUUCAUGUCAGUGCUAUUAUCUCCAAGCUCCCACCUUCCUGGAAGGAUUAUCGUGUGAAAUUGAUGAAUGAGAAGUUCCUACCUCUGAAGAUGUUGAUGCAUCGACUGAAAACUGAAGAAGAUUCUCGUGAUCACUACAGAUAUAGAAAGCCCGUUGGAAGUUCUCGUGAUGGGUCAAAGCAUGAUUGCACAUUUGUACCAAGAAACUGAUGCAAGCAUGGUGGAUAGGUGCUCUUCAGCAGAAAAUUCUAUGUUAUGAAAAGAUGGUUCUGCUAGGGUUACACAGAAAUCACCACUUGUAUCAGCAAUUCAGCAUAACUCAUCUCAGCCAAGCAGCACGAUAAGCCAUUUAUCUUCCCCGAUCAAUUGAACUUAAGAGAUUUUGUUCAUUGUUCUACUCCAGUUUCCUUUACUCUGCUAUUGCCUGGUUGUCUGUUUUUGGAUAUGAAGUCCCCACACACAUUCAACGACUAGGUAUGACUAUAACAGCCUAAUGUUCCAUUGGACUAACUCCUCGAAGGCAUUAGCAAAGAAGAUGCAUUUUUACAAAUUACAGCAGGGCAUGUUCUUUGAACUAAGAGGCAAAGACAUGGCUGCUGAAGAAGAGUGGCAGCAGGGGACACGCAAAAUUACAUUUUGGUGUUCUUAGAUCCCAACAAGAAGUUGCAGAUUGUCUUAUGGAAGAAGAGUUGAGGGAUAAAAGAAACAAAUGAACAUUGAUGGUAGCAGUAGGGAUAAGGAUGUUUAUAUUAUGCAUUAGACAAUUUUGAGCAGUUUUAUUCUGUAAAUUGAUUGAGGAAAAAUAUAGAAAAUAAAACACUAAUAAAAGGUCUUCUCAUAAUUGUGGU